rnacentral:rRNA from 1 species
UACGUAGGGUCCGAGCGUUGUCCGGAAUUACUGGGCGUAAAGAGCUCGUAGGUGGUUUGUCGCGUUGUUCGUGAAAACUCACAGCUCAACUGUGGGCGUGCGGGCGAUACGGGCAGACUGGAGUACUGCAGGGGAGACUGGAAUUCCUGGUGUAGCGGUGAAAUGCGCAGAUAUCAGGAGGAACACCGGUGGCGAAGGCGGGUCUCUGGGCCGAAACUGACGCUGAGGAGCGAAAGCGUGGGGAGCGAACAGG